rnacentral:rRNA from 1 species
GAUGAACGCUAGCGGCAGGCUUAACACAUGCAAGUCGAGGGGCAGCGCGGGAUAGCAAUAUCCUGGCGGCGACCGGCGGAAGGGUGCGUAACGCGUGAGCGACAUGCCCGUUGCCCGGGGACAACCGGUGGAAACGCCGACUAAUCCCCGAUGGGAUAUUGUGCCGCAUGGCACGAUAUUGAAAGUUACGGCGGCGACGGAUUGGCUCGCGUCCGAUUAGCUUGUUGGCGGGGUAACGGCCCCCCAAGGCUGCGAUCGGUAGGGGUUCUGAGAGGAAGGCCCCCCACAAUGGGACUGAGACACGGCCCAUACUCCUACGGGAGGCAGCAGUGAGGAAUAUUGGUCAAUGGGCGGAAGCCUGAACCAGCCAUGCCGCGUGCGGGAAGGAGGCCCUAUGGGCUGUGAACCGCUUUUGCCUGGGGGCAAUAAGGGCGUCGCGCACGUCCGAUGAGAGUACCAGGCGAAUAAGCAUCGGCUAACUCCGUG